CAUCGCGCGCGGCUGUGUGCUCUUCUCGGAGCGCGUAAACCCGGGCCCUGCGGUGGGGAGGACCUUCCGUUCCUCCCGCCCUCCUCCUCCCAUUCCCAAGAGAACCCGGAGGAAUGGCGACGGCCAGGAAUUUUCACUCGGAGAUCAAGCGGCUGGAACAUUCUCUUCUCAUUUCCUCCCACUUGAAUCCAUGACGGCUGCAGUUUUCCACGUCUUUACUGACUCAACAAACGUCCCCGGGGUAUUUCCAUCCUCUCACCAUGAGCUCACUUUCUGUGCUUAUUCAUUCCCAGUUGCUUCGCGGGCUGAGCGGGGUGUCCGUGAUCAGUGACUCAGAGCUAUUUCAGGAAUCCCCAGCAUUUCCACGCACUGACUCACCUCGCAGUCCUCGGGCUCACCUGUCGGGGGCGUGGCUGUGGCCCGGCACAUGGGCCUGGGGUGGCCAGGACGCUCCUCAGACAGACGUGUCUGCAGUGGCAGAGCUGUGAUCUGAGCAGAGCCCUCCUGCCUGUCCCUCCUCCGGCCCGUGUCUGCCUUGGGAAGGAAAGAGGUUUGCCCUGGUCGCCUUGGAGUCCCCAGUGACUCCGGAGCUCCAGGGCCCCAUAACACUGUGCCGCCCGACAAAUGUGUCCUGGAUGACGGGCUAUGGAAUCCUGGGGAUGGUGGAGACCCUUCGCUUGUGUUUUGUGAAUUGUUAUGACUAUAAAUAUGGAAAAACCAUCUUAGGAAGGGAGGGGCUUAGAUCAAUACCCGAGAAUGUAGGUAAGUGCCUAAAUCUUGGGGUUACCUGGAAGAAAUAGGUCUGACCAGGACGUCACAAAAAUGCUGGAGGAGUUAAAGCAGCUGAAUGAAGCCGUCUCGGGUCUCAGCAGCACCGUCUCACUGGCCCUCAUCUCGUAAACCCGCCUCUCCCGCACCCAUUCCUUGGUUCUGUCGGCCUUUAGCUUUCAAGCACCUCCUUGGUUCCUUCUAACCUCUCUCUUCAAGUCUACGGCCUGAGUUCUGUGAGAUUAGUGUGCAUGUUGCAUCAGGCGUCCCCACAUCUACCCCAGAUCUGAUGAUUCACCAGAGAGCCUUGCAGGGCUCAGCGCGUAGUCACACUCACGGAGGCAGCGGACAGCAGUGAAAGGAGACAGGAAAUCAGCAAAGGGCAAAAGCACACGCGGCGAAGUCCAGAGGACACCGGGCUCAGGCUUCUAGAAUCUGCUCCCGGGGGAGUCUCCCACGAUACACUUAACUCCUCCAACAUCGCACCGUGACAACGUGGGAGGUGCUGUCUCCCAGGAAGCUCAUCACACACUCAGCACCAGGGUUUUCCUGGGGCUGGUCGCGUGGGCACUCUCCCCAGCGUGUACCAAGCUCCAGACCCCGAGAGGAAAGCAGGCUUUCAGCAGAAGUCACGUCAUAUGACAACAGGCAUCGUGAACCGUCCUUCUCCGUUACAGGAAUGGAGCCAAUUACAGAUUUCAUCCUCUCCGUAGCAAGUUUAAUAAUUACAUCAAAACUUUCAGCAAUGAUCAGUGUAUGUUUCUACUGAAGCCAACGUGAUCUAGCCAAGUUCACAUUUAUGAAAUCUAUUCACUUUUAAAGAUUAAUUACAAGAUUUCUUUCCCGGACCCUGUCAGUUAUUUUCAAAUAAAUUAUCAAGAUUGGUUUUAAUAAAAAACAUAUACUUCAAAAA